CCUACGGGAGGCAGCAGUGGGGGAUAUUGCGCAAUGGGGGCAACCCUGACGCAGCAACGCCGCGUGAAGGACGAAGGUCUUCGGAUUGUAAACUUCUUUUGUCAGGGACGAAAUCUAACGGUACCUGACGAAUAAGCUCCGGCUAACUACGUGCCAGCAGCCGCGGUAAU
rnacentral:rRNA from 1 species